rnacentral:misc_RNA from 1 species
GAUGAAGAACGUAGCGAAAUGCGAUAAGUAGUGUGAAUUGCAGAAUUCAGUGAAUCAUCGAAUCUUUGAACGCAUCUUGCGCUCCUUGGUAUUCUGAGGAGCAUGCCUGUUUGAGUGUCAUUAAAUUCUCAACUACACUGACUUUGAAUUGGUGUGGCUUGGAUUUGGGGGGAAAAUUGUUGUGGGCUUCUUGUAUAGUCUGCUCCCCUGAAAUUGAUUAGCGGUACCUUUGUGGAACUGUCUACAGGUGUGAUAAUUAUCUACAUCUUAGACAUCUGCUGGAAUGCUGCUUUCUAAACCUUACUUGUAUUGACAAUCUUGACCUCAAAUCAGGUAGGACUACCCGCUGAACUUAAGCAUAUCAAUAAGCGGAGGA